rnacentral:rRNA from 1 species
GACGAACGCUGGCGGCGUGCCUAACACAUGCAAGUCGAGCGGAGAUUUCUUUGGCACUGAGUACUCUAGUAAAGACGCAAAGGAAGCGUCAUGAAGAAACAACAUAGAUGUUAAAAACACUGAUAAAAGUUUCUUCAUCACGCGUUUUUAAAGUGCCAACACAAAGAGGGAAGGGAUAAGUAGAGUAUUGAGUGCCAAAGAAAUCUUAGCGGCGGACGGGUGAGUAACACGUGGGCAACCUGCCUUGAAGUGGGGGAUAACACCGGGAAAUCGGUGCUAAUACCGCAUAACAUACACAAACUGCAUGGUAAGUGUAUCAAAGGAGCAAUCCGCUUUAAGAUGGGGCCCGCGGCUGAUUAGCUAGUUGGUAAGGUAACGGCUUACCAAGGCGACGAUCAGUAGCCGACCUGAGAGGGUGACCGGCCACACUGGAACUGAGACACGGUCCAGACUCCUACCGGGAGGGCAGCAGUGGGGAAGUAUUGCGCAAUGGGGGGAA